AUCUGUCUCCUCGGUGUAGGUUGGACGUUCGGCCACAGUUGCAAUGACGUGCUCACUUGGCAGCAAGAGAAAAUUGGCAACGUUGUAAUUUCGAAAUCGCGAUAUGCAUUACUUUGAAGACUGGUGUCAAUCUCCGCGUGCUAAUGAAAAGCCUACUACUUAUGGAUUUGAUGUGAAGGAAUGACGAAAAGACAUCCUAAGAAGGGAAUCCGUCUUUGCCAUGCACAAAAUCUAAUUUAAACGAACCUGAGGAGUUUCUCGACAAGUGCCAUGCCGACAAAUCCAGUGCCGCCUGUGACGAAGACACUGGUGCCCUCGUAGAACUUCUGUAUGACG